UUGCCUCUCUAUUCCCUGCCAAGGGUAUUCUUGUUCCCCUUUUAAAGAAGGAGUGAAGCAUUCACAUUUUGGUCAUCCUUCUUGAGUUUCAUGUGUUCUGUGCAUCUAGGGUAAUUCAAGCAUUUGGGCUAAUAGCCACUUAUCAAUGAGUGCAUACCAUGUGUGUUUUUCUGUGAUUGGGUUACCUCACUCAGGAUGAUAUUUUCCAGUUCCAACCAUUUGCCUAUGAAUUUCAUAAAGUCAUUGUUUUUGAUAGCUGAGUAAUAUUCCAUUGUGAAGAUGUACCACAUUUUCUGUAUCCAUUCCUCUGUUGAAGGGCAUCUGGGAUCUUUCCAGCUUCUGGCUAUUAUAAAUAAAGCUUCUAUGAACACAGUGGAGCACGUGUCUUUUUUAUAUGUUGGGGCAUCUUUUGGGCAUAUGCCCAAGAGAGGUAUAGCUGGGUCCUCAAGUAGUUCAAUGUCCAAUUUUCUGAGGAACCUCCAGACUGAUUUCCAGAAUGGAUGUACCAGUCUGCAAUCCCACCAACAAUGGAGGAGUGCUCCUCUUUACAUGGGUUCUGAGAUUUGAACUCACAUCUCACGCUUAUGCAGAAAGUGUCUUCACCUGCUCAACCAUCUCCCAAGCCUUGUCCUAUGUCUUUUUAGUCCACAC
rnacentral:lncRNA from 1 species